rnacentral:rRNA from 1 species
GACGAACGCUGGCGGCGUGCUUAACACAUGCAAGUCGAACGGACGGGCCCUGCUUUUGUUUGUUGCUCGUUUGGCGAACGGGUGAGUAACACGUGAGUAACCUCCCCUUGACUGUCUGGUAUCUUCAGGGAACUGGGGCUAAUACCGGAUAUGAUCUCCUGCUGCGUGGGGGUGGUAGGAAAGUUUCGGCGGUUGGGGAUGGACUCGCGGCUUAUCAGCUUGUUGGUGUGGUAGUGGCUUACCAAGGCUUUGACGGGUAGCCGGCCUGAGAGGGUGACCGGCCACAUUGGGACUGAGAUACGGCCCAGACUCCUACGGGAGGCAGCAGUGGGGAAUAUUGCACAAUGGGCGGAAGCCUGAUGCAGCAACGCCGCGUGCGGGAUGACGGCCUUCGGGUUGUAAACCGCUUUCGCCUGUGACGAAGCGUGAGUGACGGUAAUGGGUAAAGAAGCACCGGCUAACUACGUG